CUCCAGACUCCUACGGGAGGCAGCAGUCGGGAAUAUUGCGCAAUGGAGGAAACUCUGACGCAGUGACGCCGCGUAUAGGAAGAAGUUUUUCGGAAUGUAAACUAUUGUCGUUAGGGAAGAGAAAGGACAGUACCUAAGGAGGAAGCUCCGGCUAACUACGUGCCAGCAGCCGCGGUAAUACGUAGGGAGCGAGCGUUGUCCGGAUUUACUGGGUGUAAAGGGUGCGUAGGCGGCUAUGCAAGUCAGUAGUGAAAUCCAUGGGCUUAACCCAUGAACUGCUAUUGAAACUGCACAGCUUGAGUGAAGUAGAGGUAGGCGGAAUUCCCGGUGUAGCGGUGAAAUGCGUAGAGAUCGGGAGGAACACCAGUGGCGAAGGCGGCCUACUGGGCUUUAACUGACGCUGAGGCACGAAAGCGUGGGUAGCAAACAGGAUUAGAUACCCUUGUAC
rnacentral:rRNA from 1 species